ACGGCAGCACUUUAAGGAUGCACUGAAGCAGCUGCGUCCGUCUGUCAGUGAGCAGGAUCGCAAAGUAUACGAAAAGUUGCGCCAGAAAUAUGCCGCACCGCGUGUGCCCAUUGCUAAGUAAAUCUCAACAAAUCAUUCAAUUUGUUGUUAAUUAGUCGUUAAACAUACACAAACAACAAGCCCCACAACAACCCAUCAAUAUUAAGAGCGAAAACAAACGAGGAAUUCCCCCACACAGAAACAUCCCAUUUAAACCACGAAAUAAAAGCCCAAAGCUAACGGUACAACUGGGCCAACACAUUUAAA